rnacentral:rRNA from 1 species
GAUGAACGUUAGCGGCAGGCCUAAUACAUGCAAGUCGAACGAUAUCAUCCAGCUUGCUGGAUGAGAAAGUGGCGCACGGGUGCGUAACGCGUAUGCAACCUACCUUUAUCUGGGGGAUAGCCCGGAGAAAUCCGGAUUAAUACCGCAUAAAAUCACAGGAUGGCAUUAUCCAAUGAUCAAACAUUUAUGGGAUGAAGAUGGGCAUGCGUGUCAUUAGCUAGUUGGCGGGGUAACGGCCCACCAAGGCGACGAUGACUAGGGGAUCUGAGAGGAUGGCCCCCCACACUGGUACUGAGACACGGACCAGACUCCUACGGGAGGCAGCAGUAAGGAAUAUUGGUCAAUGGAGGCAACUCUGAACCAGCCAUGCCGCGUGCAGGAAGACUGCCCUAUGGGUUGUAAACUGCUUUUAUCCGGGAAUAAACCACAUUACGUGUAAUGUGCUGAAUGUACCGGAAGAAUAAGGAUCGGCUAACUCCGUGCCAGCAGCCGCGGUAAUACGGAGGAUCCAAGCGUUAUCCGGAUUUAUUGGGUUUAAAGGGUGCGUAGGCGGCCUGUUAAGUCAGGGGUGAAAGACGGUAGCUCAACUAUCGCAGUGCCCUUGAUACUGAUGGGCUUGAAUGGACUAGAGGUAGGCGGAAUGAGACAAGUAGCGGUGAAAUGCAUAGAUAUGUCUCAGAACACCGAUUGCGAAGGCAGCUUACUAUGGUCUUAUUGACGCUGAGGCACGAAAGCGUGGGGAUCAAACAGGAUUAGAUACCCUGGUAGUCCACGCCCUAAACGAUGAACACUCGCUGUUGGCGAUACACAGUCAGCGGCUAAGCGAAAGCGUUAAGUGUUCCACCUGGGGAGUACGCCCGCAAGGGUGAAACUCAAAGGAAUUGACGGGGGCCCGCACAAGCGGAGGAGCAUGUGGUUUAAUUCGAUGAUACGCGAGGAACCUUACCCGGGCUUGAAAGUUAGUGAAUUAUCCAGAGAUGGAUAAGUGAGCAAUCACACGAAACUAGGUGCUGCAUGGCUGUCGUCAGCUCGUGCCGUGAGGUGUUGGGUUAAGUCCCGCAACGAGCGCAACCCCUAUGUUUAGUUGCCAGCAUGUAAUGAUGGGGACUCUAAACAGACUGCCUGUGCAAACAGAGAGGAAGGAGGGGACGACGUCAAGUCAUCAUGGCCCUUACGUCCGGGGCUACACACGUGCUACAAUGGAUGGUACAGAGGGCAGCUACAUAGCAAUAUGAUGCGAAUCUCACAAAGCCAUUCACAGUUCGGAUUGGGGUCUGCAACUCGACCCCAUGAAGUUGGAUUCGCUAGUAAUCGCGUAUCAGCAAUGACGCGGUGAAUACGUUCCCGGGCCU